rnacentral:rRNA from 1 species
GACGAACGCUGGCGGCGUGCUUAACACAUGCAAGUCGAACGGAAAGGCCCUGCUUUUGUGGGGUGCUCGAGUGGCGAACGGGUGAGUAACACGUGAGUAACCUGCCCUUGACUUUGGGAUAACUUCAGGAAACUGGGGCUAAUACCGGAUAGGAGCUCCUGCUGCAUGGCGGGGGUUGGAAAGUUUCGGCGGUUGGGGAUGGACUCGCGGCUUAUCAGCUUGGUGGAUGGGUAGUGGCUUACCAAGGCUUUGACGGGUAGCCGGCCUGAGAGGGUGACCGGCCACAUUGGGCCUGAGAUGCGGCCCAGACUCCUACGGGAGGCAGCAGUGGGGAAUAUUGCACAAUGGGCGGAAGCCUGAUGCAGCAACGCCGCGUGCGGGAUGACGGCCUUCGGGUUGUAAACCGCUUUCGCCUGUGACGAAGCGUGAGUGACGGUAAUGGGUAAAGAAGCACCGGCUAACUACGUG